CCCCUCCGCCUAAGCUAAGUCACCUCCCAUUUUCUCCUUUACUCAAUUUCCUUAAAUUCUAGUAGAUUGGAGAUUGAUGGUAUUUCUAUGUUCUUGUUGGAGUAUUUAAAUUCCAUGAUCCAUCCUUUUUGAGUGCUCACUGGAAUUGGUCUUUGGCUAUGGUAUUAAAGUUCUGAUUUUUUUUUCAAUUGGGGCACUUAGCUUACUGUAUUGAGUCUCUAUUCUUACACAUGCUUACUGUGGGAGAUCUUGAGGUUUCUGCUAUUGUUCCAUACUUGGUUGUGAGAAUCUUAUGGAAAUUCUAAGUUCUUGUGCUAUCUACUUGUUGUUCUACAUGAUGCGAAGAGUGUUGGUGUUGAGGUUGUUUACCUCACUUGCUGAACUUGUAUCGGUGGUGGCGGUUUUCGCCCUUGCCGCUCGCCACUCCUUCCUCUCCUCUUCGCCGCCCCGCGCUUGGUGUCGAGUGUAGUUGGCGGUGUCGAGUAGUGGGGUGGCGGAGGUGAAGGGAGAUGGCUCCUAUAUAGUGCUAAGCUAUUGGAAUCUAUGUUUGAGACUUGGAAGCAAAGGCUCCUAUUUUGGGGUUGCUAGCUCUUUCUCUUUCGAGCUUGAUGAUUGUGAGAUUCUUGCCGUUUUGGUGAUUGUGGCUGAUCUUCUUGGCUAAUUUCUCGGCCUUGAUCGACGGGGAGAUGAGAGUUUGACUCAUCUUCUACUUUGGGCUUGUGUACAUGGAGGCAUUCUUGGAGCUUGUGGAGGGGAGCAAAAUCGAGAAUAAGAAUGAGAGGGAAAGAAAGAAGAUGCUCCUCUUGAGCUCAUUUGGUUCUAUCCCCAAUUUAGUUUGCUUCCAAACUUGAGAAUUAAGAAGUAGGAUAGAUAGUGUAGAAUAGGUGCAUGUUGAUUUUAUCACACUUGCAGGCAUGUACUAUUUCCAUCAUCCAUGUAUUUCUAUUUCUUCACGGUGUAUCCACAUUUCUCUAAUAAAAGUAUUUUCUCCACUUUUA